AACCUUAUGUGGUGGGUGUGAGGUCGAAUUUGUGUUUAGUCCAUCAAUACUUAUGAUUUUCUGUUUCAUGUUUUGUUUGAAUUUAUCGACGACGCUAAUUUUUGUUAUCACAUUUGCAAGGAGUUUAGUUCAGCCUUUAGGAUUCGAUACAAGACAACAUAAUGGUGGUCUCGGUAUAUGUACACCUUUGAUGUACAACAUUAGGAAUGGAAGUUCCAUACACAAUAUAGGAAUUAUUAUUUAUUAGAUUACUCACGCCUUUACAUUAGCAUACUAUCUCAUGACAAUUUUCUUUCCAGGCUUGAAUUAUCAGCAAUGACAAAAAAGCCUAUUAAUUGGUUUCAAAAAUAAAUACUGUUUCACAAUAGGACAAUAUUAUGAAUUGAAAAGAAUAGAUUUAAACAGACCUAGUUGCUGUAAAAAAAUUACAGAGCCGUUUACGGCAAUGGAAUCUAAAAUAAAAAUUUCAAGAGUGAAGAAAUGCAUAGUCUCCAUUAUUUAAAUUUUAUUAGAGAUGGAGAUUCUUCUGUGUUUGCUAAUGUGAAAGAAAAAGUACAACAUGGGAACUAAAUAAAAAAAUUGACACCAGUGCACAAGAUUUUAGCUAAUACAAAGCUUCCACACUAUGGAUGAAAUAUUUUGAAACCAAGGUUACUGAAGAACUACUGUGCAAUAAAUUAUUGUACGUAGAGCAAUGGUCAGCCUAGUUCCAUGGCUGAUGAUUUUCAGAUUCGGCCACCGCAUGUAUUUGGAAACUAUGAGAA